UAACGCAUGCCUUGUUAUUGUUUACUUUGUUUUUAUUCUUACAAUAAUAAUUCUUUAAAUUACAAUUUUUAACCAGAUUUUCCGAAGGAAAAAACUGGUUAUUAGAUUGGCGAAUGCGGGCGGGCUGGCUGGCUGGCUGGCGGGCUGGCGGAAUAAGCUUGUCCGGGCCAUAACUAUGUCGUUCAUUGUCAGAUUUUAAAAUCAUUUGGCACAUUUGUUCACCAUCAUUGAACGGUGUGUCGCGCGAAAUAAUUACGUCGAUAUCUCCAAGGUCAAGGUCACACUUUGAGUUCAAAGGUCAAAAAUGGCCAUAAAUGAGCUUGUCCUGGCCAUAACUAUGUCAUUCAUUGUGAGAUUUUAAAAUCAUUUGGCACAUUUGUUCACCAUCAUGGGACGGUGUGUCCCACGAAAGAAUCACGUCAAUAUCUCCAAUGUCAAGGUCGCCACGACUAAAAAUAGAUUAAAAAAAAAAAAUUACAAAGGGGGGUAUUUUUUUUUUAUCAUUUCAAAAGUUCAGUUUGAGUUUUCUCCCUUUAUCAGAUUUUUUUUUCACAAUGAAAACCUGGUUUUGUGACAAUUUUGUCCCUUGUUAAUAACUUAAAUUCAUUGAUGAUAGUUAAUAACUUAUAAAUUCAUUAAUGAUAGAUCAGGUAUAUUUUCAUUGUAUGUUAAUUCUUAAGAAAUGAAAUAAAUGCUUUAAACUCUCUGUAAGUGCAGAUAGUUAACAUCAGUGGUCAGUGAUGAUCUUUGAUCAGUGCUAAUCUUUACCAGGAUUCUAAGAAUAGCAGUGCUCUCAUUUGAUUGGAUGUUUACCUAUAUUACUAUGCCUGCUACACUUCAGAAUCAGGGGACUGGGACAUUGUUGACCUCUCCCAUAAGAACUAAUCAACCAAAACAUCUGGGUAUACAUGUGAAAGACUAAUGAUAGACCCCCUGGCUCUAAGUUGAAAGAGUUAGUCCACUAAUUGAAAGAUUGGGGUAAGUGAAUUACUAAUCUGGCAGACCUGUUUAAUGUAGCAACUGUUAGUUUUAUCAUGGAGGUGAGUUUAAUGUUCUAAGUUGAAAUUUCACCAAGUAAAAGUGACUUAGUCUUAUUUUUCUCUAAAUGAAAAUUUUGAAUUAAUGAUUUACUGUGUUUCACUAACUGGGUAUGUUGAGUUAGUGGAGUUAGUUUAGUUCUUUUAACUGAGUGCAAUUAUUAGUUAAGUGAUUACUAAGGAAAAGUGAAUUAGUAUUUGUUUCUCUAAGUGAAAAUAUUGAGUUAGUGAUUGAAUAAAGAACAGGACUUAGUGAAUUUAUGCAACAACAAGUUAGUGUUUUUAAUAAGUGAUGAGUGAUCAUAGUGAUUUUACUAAAUGACAAAUCUCAGCUAAUCUUUUAAUUAAAGUGACUUAGUGUAGUGUGAUUAACGCAAGUUGUAAGUGAUUAAUCAAAGCCGAAGAAAUGGAUUUAAACUGUUUGUUUUCUGAAAGUGUCGUACAUUAGACUUAAGUGAAUAAUACAAUGAAAGCGAGUUCUUAAUUAUUUGUUCAGUGAAGUGAAUUGAGUGAUUUCAAUUAUAGUGAUCACGGGUGUUUGUUUAUCCUAGUGCUUUAUACAGGCAUUUGCCUCAUACUGAACACAAACUGUUGACCAAGUUAAGACAUGAAAGUGUAUUAUUUUUUUCGAAACCUUGUUUUAACUAUGAUUAACUUUUGAAAGUUUAUGAACUGUAUUUCUAUAUGAAUUGUUUGUACUGUUUGCAUUAUUGCUCAAGUAUAAAUGAGGAAUGUUUGGAAAGAAUAAAAAUAGUUUAGUCA